rnacentral:snRNA from 1 species
AUACUUACCUGGCAGGGGAGACACAAUGAUCUGGAAGGUGGUUUUCCUAGGGCCCGCUGAUGUGUCCCCCACAGGAGGUUUAUAUUGAGCAGAUUCUUUUUGGUAUUGGGUGGUGGAACCGGAGCGUGCUCCAUCCACUC